rnacentral:rRNA from 1 species
GACGAACGCUGGCGGCGUGCCUAAUACAUGCAAGUAGGACGCACAGUUUAUACCGUAGCUUGCUACACCAUAGACUGUGAGUUGCGAACGGGUGAGUAACGCGUAGGUAACCUGCCUAUUAGAGGGGGAUAACUAUUGGAAACGAUAGCUAAUACCGCAUAACAGUAUGUAACACAUGUUAGAUGCUUGAAAGAUGCAAUUGCAUCGCUAGUAGAUGGACCUGCGUUGUAUUAGCUAGUAGGUAGGGUAAUGGCCUACCUAGGCGACGAUACAUAGCCGACCUGAGAGGGUGAUCGGCCACACUGGGACUGAGACACGGCCCAGACUCCUACGGGAGGCAGCAGUAGGGAAUCUUCGGCAAUGGGGGGAACCCUGACCGAGCAACGCCGCGUGAGUGAAGAAGGUUUUCGGAUCGUAAAGCUCUGUUGUUAAGGAAGAAACGAG